UCAAUAUCGCAGGCGCUUAAUAGGGUUGUUAAGAUAAUUAUGAUUUAAAAAAAAAUGAAAAUUACCUAUUAAUGCAAGCGGCGCUGCUUAAUUAAGCGUUACAAGAAUGGUUGCUUAUGAGAGACACGUCGACAAAGUCUUUCUCUCUCUCAUCACUCUUUUUCUCCCCAAAGUAUGAUCCGAACCUCUUCUUCAUCAAGCCGUUGAUCUACCACCACCGGAAGAGGAGGAUUACGAUCCGGUUCCGGCUUGGGAGGAGGAGGAGGGCGAGAGAGGGAAGAUCGGAGGAUGAUGCUAGGUUUACGGUUACGACGGUGGAGAUGCGGUUAGAGCUCUCGAAGAAGUGGUCGUCGACGUCGUCUUCUUCAACUUCGCCUAACCCCACCCAGUUCAUCGUCAUCGUCUUCCUCCGUUCUGAGUUGUUUCCCGUUCACACCGUCUCAAUUUUCCAUAUCUAGAUGUUUGCGAUAAUGGCUUUGUUUGAGGCAAAGCGAUAAUGGCUUUGUUUGCAGGUUUGAGUCUGAUAUGCUUGCCUUCUCAGGAUGCUAUUAUGGUGGUGGUGAUAAGGAAAGGACAGAACUUGCAGCAAUCAGAAGGAGAUGGACACCUACAAUGGCUAAAGAAGUUAGUCAGUUUGUUAACAUCAUAUCCUUUCAGCACAUUGUAAGUUUUUCUGUAGAAUGUAUAUGCCAAAUUUGUGGAUGAAAGGUAUGUGUAGCUUGGUUUACUCUAGAACGUCUUCUUCUUGGUUUACUUUUAUAGGAUGUUUCAAACAAUGUUGUCUUACUUUCUAAUGAUCGCAAGAGGAUUUACAAACCAAAGCGUUUCUUAAUUUUUUUUUGAUCUUUUAAUAUGUUUUAUAUAAUAAAUAAAUUUUAUCUUAAAUAAAACAAUGUUUAUAUUU